GAUGAAGAACGCAGCGAAAUGCGAUAAGUAAUGCGAAUUGCAGAAUUCAGUGAAUCAUCGAAUCUUUGAACGCACAUUGCGCCCUUUGGUAUUCCAAAGGGCAUACCUGUUCGAGCGUCAUUUGUACCCUCAAGCUUUGCUUGGUGUUGGGCGUCUUGUCUCUAGCUUUGCUGGAGACUCGCCUUAAAGUAAUUGGCAGCCGGCCUACUGGUUUCGGAGCGCAGCACAAGUCGCACUCUCUAUCAGCAAAGGUCUAGCAUCCAUUAAGCCUUUUUUUCAACUUUUGACCUCGGAUCAGGUAGGGAUACCCGCUGAACUUAAGCAUAUCAAUAAGCGGAGGA
rnacentral:misc_RNA from 1 species